CGCAGAUUAGAAACGAUAGCGGAGAAGAAAUCGCAUUUCUGGGGAAAACACAACUCGCUGCCACCGGUCUGUUCCUUACCCUCAUCCAGAAACGUCGAGUAGGACGCGGCGGCAGCGUAGGCAAACAAAGUGCCAUCACAUUUCUAUGGCACCGAAAAAGCAUGGAAUACAACCAUACAAACGUGUUUUGCAUUAGACGUAAAUAAAUUAAAACAGCGGCCAGUAACAAACCUGCUCUUUCUGACUCCAUCGUUUGUGCUGUGCAGUGGGCAGAUUAGAAGAUCAUGCCUUAAUGCCCACAUUGAUCCAGCCAAAGAGGAUUGUCGGAAGAAAAAGCCUUGUUGAAAAGCUUUGAGAGGAACCAGAAUCAGCCAAUCCUUCUCUGUGCUGUUCCUGAAGUUCUGUUCCUGACUGAAUUGCAGUGAGAAAGACAGGGACACCGGCAUGGAUCAAACCAGCAGUCGGCUGUCGUCCCAGCGAGGGCUCCAGUGUCUGUCUGUCUGCCUCCUGGAUGCCACAUGAGGGUUUCAAAUCACAGACGCCCCUCCAGACUGACAUUCCACCAUGACGACUACGCAGCCUGCAGGUGAAAGCAAAAGAAGAAAUUUGGAGGAAUGUAGUUUGUUGUUCUUUUCUGUGCAUGUUACCCUUACUGACAGCUAAAAAUGGACACAAGUAGUCCAUAAAACGUGUGC
ensembl:lncRNA